rnacentral:rRNA from 1 species
GACGAACGCUGGCGGCGUGCUUAACACAUGCAAGUGGAGCGACGAACCAGGCUUUUAGCCUGGGGCAAAGCCGCGAACGGGUGAGUAACACGUGGGUAACCCACCCCGAUGACCGGGACAACCCGAGGAAACUCGGGCUAAUACCGGAUGAGCUCCUCUCCCUCGAGGGAGAAGAGGAAAGAUAGCUUCGGCCUUCGCAUCGGGACGGGCCCGCGGCGCAUUAGCUUGUUGGUGGGGUAACGGCCUACCAAGGCGACGAUGCGUAGCUGGUCUGAGAGGACGAUCAGCCACACUGGGACUGAGACACGGCCCAGACUCCUACGGGAGGCAGCAGUGGGGAAUCUUGCACAAUGCGCGAAAGCGUGAUGCAGCAACGCCGCGUGGGGGAAGAAGGCCUUCGGGUUGUAAACCCCUUUCAGUUGGGACGAAGCUUCGCCGGUGAAUAGCCGGCUGGAGUGACGGUACCUUCACAAGAAGCCCCGGCUAACUACGUGCCAGCAGCCGCCGUAAUAC